UGCGCAGGCGGGCUUGUAAGUCAGUGGUGAAAUUCUGCCGCUUAACGGUAGAACUGCCAUUGAUACUGCAAGUCUUGAAUAUGGUUGAGGUAGGCGGAAUGUGUUGUGUAGCGGUGAAAUGCAUAGAUAUGACACAGAACGCCGAUUGCGAAGGCAGCUUACUAAGCCAUAAUUGACGCUGAGGCACGAAAGCGUGGGGAGCGAACAGGAUUAGAUACCCUGGUAGUCC
rnacentral:rRNA from 1 species